rnacentral:tRNA from 1 species
GCCGAUGUAGCUCAGUUGGUAGAGCACUCGCCUUGUAAGCGAGCGGUCGCGAGUUCGAGUCCCGCCAUCGGCA